rnacentral:lncRNA from 1 species
UAUCCAUUGCUUGCAUCUGUAUGUACAUACUGACAUGGAGUAACUCCUCUCUCAGUGAAUUUCAGAAAAGGGUCAUUUGGCGAUGACUCAUGUGAGCUGUGUUCAAGCCAGUUGACCAAUGCUGCAGCUAAAGCAUGUUCGGAGAAAGUAACCAUGCUGAGAUAUAGGUUAGAAACAAAAUAGAAGCCAAUUUUUAAGAUAAAACAUGAUAAACAUGGUAUUAGCACAACUGGAGCAAAGAUCACAACAUGGAAAAAUGAUCAUCAUUAUAGAUAAAAAAUAGGAUGGGUGAAUAAAAUGAUUAUUUCUCCUCAAUUUGACAUAGCAGAGCACGAGUACACCCAAAUAGAUACAUAAUUUGCCUGCUUUCCAUACUACCUAGGUAAUUAGAAUUGCUUGAAGGCAAAGUCUGUAAGAAAGGAAUAUGUAGAAAUUAGAAAACCAACAUAAAGUAAUCUGACAUUGUUCUAACCUUACAAAUUGAGGUGCAUUAGUAAGAAAAGUGAAACUUCUUACCCUGUUGCUUGCACAAGUAGCAGGCUUUCCUAGGUUUGAAUCACUCCAAGAAAUCAAUGGGUAAAUUGCGGCAGCUGCUCU